GCACGACCGUCACCUGUAGCGGAAGUGUCGUAGCCAAUGUCGGCCGGUCGGUGACUAGUCCGGCGGAAAUAUGUGGAGUUAAAGACGAUACAAUAAUGUAAUUUAGCGAUCGGUCUGGACGGUACUCCGACGAAAACGUGCGUUGACCGCUUGCCGGUCACGGUGAUCAAGUGAUCCGCCACAGGAUAUCGAAAUAAUCGAGUUAACGUUUAAUUCGGGCGCGGACAUGGGUCACAACAAAACCUUUUUCACCUCCAGUCGGGUCCUGGCCAUGACGGCCGUCCCGUCUUCGUAAACCGUACACUGGUAUUCGACAGGUCCGCGUACUUCGGUGCCGUACGCAUUACGGCAUAAUAAUUUUCCGCGAAAAUGAAACCGACGUGAGCCGCGUUCAUUGUGAUCGUCAACGGGUCAGUCAUUGUAACGGUUCCGGAACUCUUACUAGCAGUGUUGUGUUUUGACGGAAAUAUUAACGAGUGCGUACACAAAUUAACUAUUUUCUGUUUCGCAAUCGUAUUUGUUAUUCACCGGAUUGUAUAUUUCGGUAGGCAAAUACUAUAAUACGAUUAUAAUAAAAACGCGGUUGUCGUUAGUUAGUAACGAAAAUAAUAUUGGCCAUCUAUUUUUGUUUGUUUCAGCUACGUCACACCGCGGUUUCGAUCGUCAUUCGCAGUGGUGUGCCCGGGAAUUUUCAGCUAGAGGGGGCGUGGCAAGAAUACAGAAUUGCAAAAUCGUCUUAUCUGCGAGACUCGAUUACGGGAGUUAUUGGUAAUUUAAAAACCGGAUCCUUGAAAAAAUAAACUAUUCCUUAUUUAUACAUCAAGUUUUAACAAGUAAUUUGGC